rnacentral:rRNA from 1 species
CUACGUAGGGAGCGAGCGUUGUCCGGAAUUACUGGGUGUAAAGGGAGCGUAGGCGGGAGUGCAAGUCAGAUGUGAAAUACAUGGGCUUAACCCAUGGGCUGCAUUUGAAACUGUGGUUCUUGAGUGAAGUAGAGGUAAGCGGAAUUCCUGGUGUAGCGGUGAAAUGCGUAGAUAUCAGGAGGAACACCGGUGGCGAAGGCGGCUUACUGGGCUUUUACUGACGCUGAGGCUCGAAAGCGUGGGGAGCAAACAGGAUUAGAUACCCUGGUAGUCCGCGCUGUAAACGAUGAUUACUAGGUGUGGGGGGACUGACCCCUUCCGUGCCGCAGUUAACACAAUAAGUAAUCCACCUGGGGAGUACGGCCGCAAGGUUGAGACUCAAAUGAAUUGGCGGGG